AACGAACGCUGGCGGCAGGCCUAACACAUGCAAGUCGAACGCCGUAGCAAUACGGAGUGGCAGACGGGUGAGUAACACGUGGGAACAUACCCUUCGGUUCGGAAUAACUCAGGGAAACUUGAGCUAAUACCGGAUACGUCCGCGAGGAGAAAGAUUCAUCGCCGGAGGAUUGGCCCGCGUCUGAUUAGCUUGUUGGUGAGGUAAUGGCUCACCAAGGCGACGAUCGGUAGCNGGUCUGAGAGGAUGAUCAGCCACAUUGGGACUGAGACACGGCCCAAACUCCUACGGGAGGCAGCAGUGGGGAAUAUUGGUCAAUGGACGCAAGUCUGAACCAGCCAUGCCGCGUGAAGGAUGAAGGCGUUCUGCGUUGUAAACUUCUUUUAUCUGGGAAGAAAUCUCUAUUUUCCAAUAGAGUUGACGGGUACCAGAGGAAUAAGCACCGGCUAACUCCGUGCCAGCAGCCGCCGCCGUAAC
rnacentral:rRNA from 1 species